rnacentral:rRNA from 1 species
AUUGAACGCUAGCGGGAUGCUUUACACAUGCAAGUCGAACGAGUGGCGGACGGGUGAGUAAUAUAUCGGAACGUGCCCAGUAGCGGGGGAUACCUAUCCGAAAGAGUGGCAAAUCCCGCAUCCUUUUGGGGCGCCCGAAAUCGGAUUAGCUAGUUGGUGGGGUAAAGGCUAACCAAGGCAACGAUCCGUAGCUGGUUGGAGAGGACGACCAGCAACACUGGGACUGAGACACGGCCCAGACUCCUACGGGAGGCAGCAGUGGGGAAUUUUGGACAAUGGGGGAAACCCUGAUCCAGCCAUCCCGCGUGUAUGAGAAGGCCUUCGGGUUGUAAAGUACUUUUGGCAGAGAAGCGGUAUCUGCAGAAUAAGCACCGGCUAACUACGUGCCAGCAGCCGCGGUAAUUC